UACGGGGGUGGCGAGCGUUGCUCGGAUUUACUGGGUGUAAAGCGCGCGUAGGCGGCCUGAUAAGCCCUACCUAAAAGGCUCUGUCUCAAACAGAGAUCGUGGUAGGGGACCGCCAGGCUUGAGGGUUGGAGAGGUGAGCGGAAUUCCCGGUGUAAGGGUGAAAUCUGUAGAUAUCGGGAGGAACACCAGUGGCGAAAGCGGCUCACUAGCCAACUUCUGACGCUGAGGUGCGAAAGCUAGGGGAGCGAACAGG
rnacentral:rRNA from 1 species